rnacentral:lncRNA from 1 species
GCUCCGUCUUCGCCUCCGAAAUCAAAGAUGGCGCCACUUCCGCCCGUCAAAAACCGCAGGAGUUCGUACCGACACGUCUCGACUCUCGGCGGCCGAAAACAAAAAUCUCUCUUCGCCGGACGUUUUCCCGUCGAAAAUUCUUCAACGGCUUUUUUGUCUUUUCUCGAAAAGUGAUUGUAACCGACCUUCGUUGCAAAUGGGGAGAAGGUGAUGUAUACGCGAGGACGUCGUAAAAGAAGCCGUUUAUCGACGAAAGAGGCGCACGCCUUCAAUUUAUGACAUGUCCAGCCCCGUUUUAUUCAGAUAUAAAAUAAUUAGUGUUUCAAGAAUUGAUUGGGAAAUGAGAAAGUCAUGGUAAUGAAAGUUUGAUUAAAUUCAGUUAUAUUUUUUAUCUUAAAAAUAAAAGUCAAAGAUAUGCAAUUGCUAUGAAAAGAGGAAGUAUAAGAUCUAACGAGAUGCACAUCAGAUAUAUUUGAAGAUUGACAAGAUGGCUAUUGUUCGUUAUUGAAAACAUACUCUGACUCAGUAAAAGCUAAGAAAAAAAUACAUUAGUCAAAGUUUUGACAGUCCAGAUCAAGAUGUUUUCAUAGUGGAUUUAUAUCAGAACUAAUCUUUUGAAGGUUCAAAUGGCUUGGCUUGACAUAAAAAACAGAUGUUACAGAGGCGCUGGGAACGGCCGUUCUCGUCGCAACAUAUUUUACAAAGGUGUGCGGAUAGCACAAGCACACACACAUUGUUUAUUCAGUGCUGCCACGCCGCAAGCCUGAAUCGAUCUGAAGUUUAAAGUUUUUUACGUGCAAACUACACAUUGCAGUGCUCCCAAGAACUCAACCUUGAGGUGCGGAUUGCGUCGCACUUGACUUCACUGAGGCAAGUAAUAGCCGGUUCGUGACAUACUAGGUUAUUUUGGAAAAUCUUGACUAUCGACUUUUCCAAUUGGAGUCAAUGCUUUUUGAACAAAAAAGACUUUGACCAUUCCCAUUUAUAGUGAAAAACUACAUUUACGGACAUUUCAAAGUUUAUUUCGGAAGGACAACAAAUGACUAUUCGUUGUCGUAGUUAGUUAACUAAUUACGUACCAUAUGCAUUUACAAAAGAACAGCAUACAAUUUUUGUCUUUUUUAUCGUUCAAUCACUCAUUUGCUUGUGUCCACGCCUUCGAAAAGAAUAUGCUCCAACAGAAAAAGAGAACGACAGAAUAAGAUAAGUCCACGAUUCUCGACGUAUAACUACUUAUCAUACUUUUACGGCUUCGCAAAAAGGAGAAAAUACACACUCUGAUCGUACAAUCGCGAAAAUAUGUGCAUUUAAUACGCCGAUUAGUUGAAAGUAUCGCUCGAUCGCUAUCUCGUUUUUAAAAUUUUAAAAAUCAAGAAAAUAUUUUUAAUUUUGAGUUUUUUAAAAAUGAAAAUUAUUUUAAUUUAAAAAAUUUUCAAUAAUAUAUACACACACAUAAAUAUCAUACUUAUAAAAUUACUUAGUUUUUCACCAGGAAAUUCAAGAGGAAAGCACAUCGGCGUUUUCCAUCCCCAAACUAUACCAAAGCUGCAUGAAGCAUAGUACGAGAACCUAAAUAAGCUUCCAAGUCUAUUACGUUGUGCCUUUCAAAAAAGCGACUACACCUCACGUAAACAUCAUUCUAUCUGCAGAUUGAUACUGCUUACCCAACUUGAAAAACUCUCCAUAGAAGAAUCCUGAUAUUCUUUCAAGCGCCUCGCGGAGCCACGGUCUUCGAUUACAAUUCGCUCGCUCGCGGGUUCGAAGGGAUCUCCGAGUCAGUGAGGCGCGCAGAAAGAAUCUCAGGAUGCCCCAGCAGCACCACGCCUCAGCGCAACAAACCAGACAAGCCGAUCUGUACCGACUUACAUCCAGCUGGACUGUGUAGAGACCUCUAUUUAGAAAGACGAAUUUGUAGCGGCUAUUUUUCACGGAGUCACUAAUAUUCGAACCUGAUGUCUGCGAGAACGAUGAGGUUACUGGGUACAACAGUUACAGCAUCGCUGUUUGAAGAAAAGUGCAUUACUUAGCACUGCUAGGAACGAUCAUCAUCACAACCCGGAGCGGAAAGCAAGCAGCAGAGAAGCGGCUCAUCCAGAGCGGCGAUUUGAAAUGAUAAGAAUGUAUAUGCGAAGAUUUCUAUUUACGCAGUUAUGCUUUCGUAUUCGCAUUUGAAUCGGUUUUGUUAAGAAUUCUUAGAUAAUAAUUUAAUAUAGAUACGCACAGUUUAUUGUGCGAAGUAGGAUUUCGAGACGGAAAACGAAAAUAUUUGUUGAUUGAUCGCAGUAGGCUUUUGAGGCGCUGCGACGAAAAUAAUAGAAAUUUGAAUGCGAAAACUUUUUACGAAGUAGGCUUUUGAGGCGCUGCGAUAUAGUUGAACUGAAUAUAAUUUGAUUUCUUUAGCACGUUUAAAAUUGAUUUUGAAUGAUUUAGUAAGAUAAAAGAAAAUGAUGUGGUUUUAAGGAAAUAAAUGUUUAUAAUUUCACACGACUCUAAAUUGCUUUAAUUCUGACAGUUGCUUCGCUGAUUGGCUAGGGCCCAGGCAAAUUGGCGUGGCCUCUGUGCUGAGUUGGGUAAUUUUUUGUUUUGUAAAUUGUGGACAUUAAGAAAUUUUCGUGAUAGUCAUCGUGAAUUCUGUGAGCAAUAGGUCAGGCCGCGCAAACACUCACAGGGAUGAGCUGCAUGAGAGUAACUAAUAUGUGAUAUUGGCACUAGGGAUAUGAAAUCUGUGUACCGGUGACGUUUUUGAUGUGCGAAGAAGCUCUUGCAGUGCGUGGAAUUUGGCAGUGCGAUUCCACGGCUGUAGCGCCUCUUGGGUUCAGGACGAUUUGAAGUCGUCCUGAGACUGUUGUAGUACCUUGGUUAAGAGUCGCUCUGCGCUAAGGUAGUUCGAAUGUCGAGGCCGAUGAGUCUGAGCAGGGGGAGCGUCAUUGAGGUACUCUAAUUUGGUAACGCGUAGAAGCGUAGAAUUUUAUUAAAUUAUCGCAGUUUUAUAUCGUGAUUGAUAGAGAUGAACUGACAAAUAAGGAAAAUGCUAGAUGUUAUUUGAAUGCGAAUGCGAAAAGCGUGGCUAUUUUGAUUAGGCAGAAAGUGUUCGAUGAACGAUACACAUAAUGUAAUUUGGAUCACGAAAGUCCGAACUGAUAGUGGCGAGUGUAGCAGACCUGCGCAUAAGUUAAUUAGAUUGUUAAAAGUAAGCGAUUACGAAGUAUGAAUAUUUGGGACGUAUGUGUGGGCGUAUGCAUGUAUGUGUGUUCUUUAUAUUUUAUUUUGUACGUGUGUUCGAUGCCAUUUCCCUUCUUCAAGUUUACAUGGUUUUCCUGGAGGCAAUGGGCGAAUGCCAGGGAUUAUGUACUUUUGAAUCCGCGCUAGUGUUCAAUUGUACUGGCAGCACAUAUUUGAUUUUAGUAUGCAGUAUGAUGUAUGGUACAAAAUUACGGAGAUUUUGUACGAGGGGGAGAAUUGUUCCGGACGUAACCGAGGGCUACUAGGGAUAAUAGCAAGUGCACCGUAUUUAUUCUUUAUUAAUAAUAUAUUCUACCUAUUAAAAGUCUCUCAGUGUAGUCCUCGGGAAAGCAUCUUUGUUUUAGCGGGCCCGACUUUUCGGCGGCGUUUAAUGAGUAGAGCGUCAGUUCUCGGCGACAACUUAUGAGAGGUCACACCAGGACCUGAUCGUUAGGAGAUUUCAAUAAAGUCAUAAUAUCUGAUCAACAA